rnacentral:rRNA from 1 species
UACGUAGGGUGCGAGCGUUAAUCGGAAUUACUGGGCGUAAAGCGUGCGCAGGCGGCUUUGCAAGACAGAGGUGAAAUCCCCGGGCUCAACCUGGGAACUGCCUUUGUGACUGCAAGGCUAGAGUACGGUAGAGGGGGAUGGAAUUCCGCGUGUAGCAGUGAAAUGCGUAGAUAUGCGGAGGAACACCGAUGGCGAAGGCAAUCCCCUGGGCCUGUACUGACGCUCAUGCACGAAAGCGUGGGGAGCAAACAGGAUUAGAUA